rnacentral:rRNA from 1 species
UACGUAGGGGGCAAGCGUUGUCCGGAUUUAUUGGGCGUAAAGAGCGUGUAGGCGGCCAAGCAGGUCCGCUGUGAAAACUCGAGGCUCAACCUCGAGACGUCGGUGGAAACCGUUUGGCUAGAGUCCGGAAGAGGAGAGUGGAAUUCCUGGUGUAGCGGUGAAAUGCGCAGAUAUCAGGAAGAACACCCGUGGCGAAGGCGGCUCUCUGGGACGGUACUGACGCUGAGGAGCGAAAGCUAGGGGAGCGAACGGG